rnacentral:rRNA from 1 species
GAUGAACGCUAGCGAUAGGCUUAACACAUGCAAGUCGAGGGGCAGCAUGAUCUUAGCUUGCUAAGGUUGAUGGCGACCGGCGCACGGGUGCGUAACGCGUAUGCAACUUGCCUUACAGAGGGGGAUAACCCGUUGAAAGACGGACUAAAACCGCAUACACUUGUAUUAUUGCAUGAUAUUACAAGGAAAUAUUUAUAGCUGUAAGAUAGGCAUGCGUCCCAUUAGCUGGUUGGUGAGGUAACGGCUCACCAAGGCGACGAUGGGUAGGGGAACUGAGAGGUUUAUCCCCCACACUGGUACUGAGACACGGACCAUACUCCUACGGGAGGCAGCAGUGAGGAAUAUUGGUCAAUGGGCGAGAGCCUGAACCAGCCAAGUCGCGUGAAGGAAGACAGUCCUAAGGAUUGUAAACUUCUUUUAUACGGGAAUAACGGGCGAUACGAGUAUUGCAUUGAUUGUACCGUAAGAAUAAGCAUCGGCUAACUCCGUGCCAGCAGCCGCGGUAAUACGGAGGAUGCGAGCGUUAUCCGGAUUUAUUGGGUUUAAAGGGUGCGUAUGUUGUUCGGUAGUCAUCGGUGAAACCUGAGCGCUCAACGUUCAGCCUGCCGUUGAAACUGCCGGGCUUGAGUUCAGUGGCGGCAGGCGGAAUUCGUGGUGUACGAUGAAAAUGCAUAGAUAUUACCAGGAACUCCCAUUGCGAAGGCAGCUUGUCAUACUGCGACUGAUACUGAAGUACUAAAGAGUCGGUACAACAAG